rnacentral:rRNA from 1 species
AGGAUUAGAUACCCCACUAUAUGAGUAAUAAAAACUAACUUUCCACCUGAGAACUACGAACUAACGUUUAAAACUCAAAGGAUUUGGCGGUUUUUUAAAUCUUACUGGAGGAGCUUGCUAUCAAACCGAUAAUCCACGAAAAACCUCACCAAUUUUUGAAAAUACAACCUGUAUACCAUCAUCGUCAGCCUACCCCUCAAGGGUAGUAUGCAAAAAGAAAAACUCUCACUACGUUAGAUCGAGGUGCAGUUUAUAAAUUGGGGAUAAGUGAGCUACAAUAAUGCAACACAAAAAACACAAAUAUGGACAACUUAAUGAAAUAAAAGUUCUAAAUAGAAUUCAGUAGUAAUGACUUAACAGAAAAUAAGCAUGAAAC